rnacentral:rRNA from 1 species
GACGUAGGAGGCGAGCGUUGUCCGGAUUCAUUGGGCGUAAAGAGCACGCAGGCGGUUUGGCAAGUCGGAUGUGAAAACCCGAAGCUCAACUUCGGGCCUGCAUCCGAAACUGCCCGACUAGAGGUAGGUAGGGGAGAUCGGAACUCCUGGUGUAGCGGUGAAAUGCGCAGAUAUCAGGAGGAACACCGGUGGCGAAGGCGGAUCUCUGGGCCUUACCUGACGCUCAGGUGCGAAAGCUAGGGGAGCGAACAGG